CCUACGGGAGGCAGCAGUAGGGAAUCUUCCACAAUGGACGCAAGUCUGAUGGAGCAACGCCGCGUGAGUGAAGAAGGGUUUCGGCUCGUAAAGCUCUGUUGUUAAAGAAGAACGUGGGUGAGAGUAACUGUUCACCCAGUGACGGUAUUUAACCAGAAAGCCACGGCUAACUACGUGCCAGCAGCCGCGGUAAUACGUAGGUGGCAAGCGUUAUCCGGAUUUAUUGGGCGUAAAGCGAGCGCAGGCGGUCUUUUAAGUCUAAUGUGAAAGCCUUCGGCUCAACCGAAGAAGUGCAUUGGAAACUGGGAGACUUGAGUGCAGAAGAGGACAGUGGAACUCCAUGUGUAGCGGUGAAAUGCGUAGAUAUAUGGAAGAACACCAGUGGCGAAGGCGGCUGUCUGGUCUGUAACUGACGCUGAGGCUCGAAAGCAUGGGUAGCGAACAGGAUUAGAUACCCUGGUAGUCCAUGCCGUAAACGAUGAUUACUAAGUGUUGGAGGGUUUCCGCCCUUCAGUGCUGCAGCUAACGCAUUAAGUAAUCCGCCUGGGGAGUACGACCGCAAGGUUGAAACUCAAAGGAAUUGACG
rnacentral:rRNA from 1 species